UACGUAGGGUCCAAGCGUUAUCCGGAAUCACUGGGCGUAAAGCGUGCGUAGGUGGCGUGUUAAGUGUGAUGUUAAAUCGUGGGGCUCAACCCUGUCGAUGCAUCGCAUACUGGCAUGCUAGAGGACGGCAGAGGCAAGUGGAAUUGGUAGUGUAGCAGUGAAAUGCGUAGAUAUUACCAGGAACACCAAUGGCGAAGGCAGCUUGCUGGGCCACUCCUGACACUGAGGUACGAAAGCGUGGGGAGCGAACAGG
rnacentral:rRNA from 1 species